GAAAGGUAGAAGGACUUACUCUUCGGAGUGAGAGCGUACACAGGUGCUGCAUGGCUGUCGUCAGCUCGUGUCGUGAGAUGUUGGGUUAGUCCCGCAACGAGCGCAACCCUGCAUUCAGUUGCCAUCGGUAAGGCCGGGCACUCUGGAUGGACUGCCGGCGACAAGCCGGAGGAAGGUGGGGACGACGUCAAGUCAUCAUGGCCCUUAUGUCCAGGGCGACACACGUGCUACAAUGGCCGGCACAACGGGAAGCGAAGGGGCGACCCUGAGCGGAUCCCACAAAAGCCGGUCUCAGUUCGGAUUGCAGUCUGCAACUCGACUGCAUGAAGUUGGAAUCGCUAGUAAUCGUGGAUCAGCCAAGCCGCGGUGAAUACGUUCCCGGGCCUU
rnacentral:rRNA from 1 species